rnacentral:lncRNA from 1 species
AAUGGUGGAACACUAUCUCCUGAAGGAUGACAACUGGAUAGUGACUUUGCUAAUGAGGCCCGCACAACAAUUUUUUGAGCUCCAAUGCGUGGUUGUCGGCCAAAGAUUGUGACGACAAGUAAAAAAGGACUCAUGAUGCCUCCCAAGCCUACUAAUUUUAUGGCAACAACCAUUCCCUUAGUCUUCUCGUCGGUGGAAUGAUGGAAUUUUCAUGUGCAGUUGGCUCCGAACUUCCUUCUCCCAUAUAUAUCUUGUUAAUGAAAAUAAU